CCUACGGGGCAGCAGUAGGGAAUAUUGGACAAUGGGCGCAAGCCUGAUCCAGCCAUCCCGCGUGAAGGAUUAAGGCCCUCUGGGUUGUAAACUUCUUUUCUCUGGGAAUAAAAACCGGUAUUCAUACUGGCUUGAAGGUACCAGAGGAAUAAGCACCGGCUAACUCCGUGCCAGCAGCCGCGGUAAUACGGAGGGUGCAAGCGUUAUCCGGAUUCACUGGGUUUAAAGGGUGCGUAGGUGGCUUUGUAAGUCAGUGGUGAAAUGCCGCAGCUCAACUGCGGAACUGCCAUUGAUACUGCUUAGCUUGAAUCACGUCGAGGUGGAUGGAAUAAUACAUGUAGCGGUGAAAUGCUUAGAUAUGUAUUAGAACACCGAUUGCGAAGGCAGUUCACUAGGCGUGUAUUGACACUGAGGCACGAAAGCGUGGGGAUCAAACAGGAUUAGAUACCCUGGUAGUCCACGCCCUAAACGAUGUAAACUCGACAUUAGCGAUAUACUGUUAGUGUCCAAGCGAAAGCGUUAAGUUUACCACCUGGAAGUACGACCGCAAGUUGAAACUCAAAUGAAUUGACGG
rnacentral:rRNA from 1 species